UACGGAGGGUGCGAGCGUUAAUCGGAAUUACUGGGCGUAAAGGGUGCGUAGGUGGUUUAAUAAGUUAACUGUGAAAACUCUGGGCUUAACCUGGAGGUGUCAGUUAAGACUGUUAGGCUAGAGUAUAGGAGAGGGUAGUGGAAUUUCCGGUGUAGCGGUGAAAUGCGUAGAUAUCGGGAGGAACACCAGUGGCGAAGGCGGCUUUCUGGUCUGUUCUUGACGCUGAGGCGCGAAAGCUAGGGUAGCAAACGGG
rnacentral:rRNA from 1 species